rnacentral:rRNA from 1 species
UACAGAGGCCCCAAGCAUUACCCGGAAUCACUGGGCGUAAAGGGUGCGUAGGUGGCGUUGUUAGUCCUUCGUUAAAUCUCUCCGGCUCAACCGGAGAGCUACAAGGGAAACGGCAACGCUAGAGAAUGUAAGAGGUGUGUGGAACUCACGGUGUAGGGGUGAAAUCCGUUGAUAUUGUGGGGAACACCAAAUGCGAAGGCAACACACUGGGACAUUUCUGACACUGAAGCACGAAAGCGUGGGUAGCGAACGGG